GACGAACGCUGGCGGCGUGCUUAACACAUGCAAGUCGAACGGAAAGGCCCUGCUUUUGUGGGGUGCUCGAGUGGCGAACGGGUGAGUAACACGUGAGUAACCUGCCCUUGACUUUGGGAUAACUUCAGGAAACUGGGGCUAAUACCGGAUAGGAGCUCCUGCUGCAUGGUGGGGGUUGGAAAGUUUCGGCGGUUGGGGAUGGACUCGCGGCUUAUCAGCUUGUUGGUGGGGUAGUGGCUUACCAAGGCUUUGACGGGUAGCCGGCCUGAGAGGGUGACCGGCCACAUUGGGACUGAGAGACGGCCCAGACUCCUACGGGAGGCAGCAGUGGGGAAGAUUGCACAAUGGGCGGAAGCCGGAUGCAGCAACGCCGCGUGCGGGAUGACGGCCUUCGGGUUGUAAACCGCUUUCGCCUGUGACGAAGCGUGAGUGACGGUAAUGGGUAAAGAAGCACCGGCUAACUACGUG
rnacentral:rRNA from 1 species